rnacentral:lncRNA from 1 species
UUUUUUUUGAGGAAAAUUACCCUACUUCCCUAGCAUCCCUCUCCUGGUUCUCAGGCAGGGACGAUUUGCAAUUUUGUAGAGGAUGAGGUCUCCCUCCCCGCAUACCUUCCUUGUCUUGAUGACAGUGGUUCUAAAGGUGUGUUCCCUUGAAGAUUUGCAGUCUUUGAAAAAAAGCACAUGACUUUUCAAAGAUGGUCUUAAUUUGUUCCAAAGCUAUCAAGAAUUUAUUCUCUCACCUUUCCUUUUCUGCCCUCCAUUGCUUCAUCUUCUUCUUUUUUUCCCCCUUACCUUUUAUCCUUCCUUCUUUUAGAAAUACUGGCAAUUACUCAUAAUCUCCCCUAUUCCUCAGGGGCUUUGAGUUUUUCCAUUUAUUUUGUUUACUUUUCAGAUUAACACUGUUGCAUUAUCUGAUUGUGUUCUUUUAGCUUUGAGACUGUUGAAGCAAGAUGGCUUAAACAAUGUCACUGAAUGUUCUAGAUUUGGAAAUGUGUUAAUGAAGGCACUGUUAAUGAAGGAACUGAGUUAACCUAGAAGCUGUGCCUUCGUGUGAAAACAAACACAAAAUUUAACCUUUGCACAUGUUGCCUUAGUUGCAAAGGUUUAAAACAAAGGACACUUAUUUCUGAGAUUCAAAGAAAUUUACUAAAUAUAAAUAAGCAGGUUAUCCCUACCUCUGAAAAUUCUAUUUCAAUGUGUAACUCAAACACCUAAGGACACCAAGGUAGAAUACCUCGCAUAUUUAAUACCUGACAAUACUUUCAAAAGAGUUGAUGUUUCUUUUUACAUAUUUUCCUAACUCAACGGAUAUAUUAAAGCCAUAAGUGAAGAUUGUCAUGCUUUUAUUCAGAAAUCUGAAAGAAACCUUAAUUAAAACAAGGUUUUAGGAAAGGCCAUGAUAUGAAAGAUAUGGAACAAUAUGGUUUUAGUUAGAGAGGACUCUAACCUGUAAAUCAAAG